rnacentral:rRNA from 1 species
UACGUAGGUGGCAAGCGUUGUCCGGAUUUAUUGGGCUUAAAGGGUGCGUAGGCGGCUUUUUAAGUCUGUGGUGAAAGCCGAUCGCUUAACGAUCGAACUGCCGUUGAUACUGAGAGACUUGAGUAUAGUUGAGGUAGGCGGAAUUGACAGUGUAGCGGUGAAAUGCAUAGAUAUUGUCAAGAACACCAGUUGCGAAGGCAGCUUACUAGAGUAUAACUGACGCUGAGGCGCGAAAGUGCGGGGAUCAAACAGG